rnacentral:rRNA from 1 species
UUUUAACCUGGCUCAAGGACAACCCCUGCCGCCUUCCCUAUACCUUCCAAUUAAACCCCCCAUUUAUUCCCUAACCUUGCUCCCCCUUAAACGGUAAUUUGCCAACCGGUUAAUUACCCCUAAGUUACCCGGCCCGGUAACGGGGGGAAUACUAUUUGGAAAACGAUAGCUAAUACCGCAUAAUAUUAAUUAUUGCACGAUAAUUGAUUAAAAGGUGCAAUUGCACCACUACCAGAUGGACCUGCGUUGUAUUAGCUAGUAGGUGAGGUAACGGCUCACCUAGGCGACGAUACAUAGCCGACCUGAGAGGGUGAUCGGCCACACUGGGACUGAGACACGGCCCAGACUCCUACGGGAGGCAGCAGUAGGGAAUCUUCGGCAAUGGACGAAAGUCUGACCGAGCAACGCCGCGUGAGUGAAGAAGGUUUUCGGAUCGUAAAGCUCUGUUGUAAGAGAAGAACGGGUGUGAGAGUGGAAAGUUCACACUGUGACGGUAUCUUACCAGAAAGGGACGGCUAACUACGUGCCAGCAGCCGCGGUAAUACGUAGGUCCCGAGCGUUGUCCGGAUUUAUUGGGCGUAAAGCGAGCGCAGGCGGUUAGAUAAGUCUGAAGUUAAAGGCUGUGGCUUAACCAUAGUACGCUUUGGAAACUGUUUAACUUGAGUGCAGAAGGGGAGAGUGGAAUUCCAUGUGUAGCGGUGAAAUGCGUAGAUAUAUGGAGGAACACCGGUGGCGAAAGCGGCUCUCUGGUCUGUAACUGACGCUGAGGCUCGAAAGCGUGGGGAGCGAACAGGAUUAGAUACCCUGGUAGUCCACGCCGUAAACGAUGAGUGCUAGGUGUUAGGCCCUUUCCGGGGCUUAGUGCCGCAGCUAACGCAUUAAGCACUCCGCCUGGGGAGUACGACCGCAAGGUUGAAACUCAAAGGAAUUGACGGGGGCCCGCACAAGCGGUGGAGCAUGUGGUUUAAUUCGAAGCAACGCGAAGAACCUUACCAGGUCUUGACAUCCCGAUGCCCGCUCUAGAGAUAGAGUUUUACUUCGGUACAUCGGUGACAGGUGGUGCAUGGUUGUCGUCAGCUCGUGUCGUGAGAUGUUGGGUUAAGUCCCGCAACGAGCGCAACCCUUAUUGUUAGUUGCCAUCAUUCAGUUGGGCACUCUAGCGAGACUGCCGGUAAUAAACCGGAGGAAGGUGGGGAUGACGUCAAAUCAUCAUGCCCCUUAUGACCUGGGCUACACACGUGCUACAAUGGCUGGUACAACGAGUCGCAAGUCGGUGACGGCAAGCUAAUCUCUUAAAGCCAGUCUCAGUUCGGAUUGUAGGCUGCAACUCGCCUACAUGAAGUCGGAAUCGCUAGUAAUCGCGGAUCAGCACGCCGCGGUGAAUACGUUCCCGGGCCUUGCACACACCGCCCGUC